AUAUAUAUAUAUAUUUGUACAUACAUAAUCAAUGUCAAACAGAAACUUAUUUGGUGGAAACGUAUUUUGAAGUAUAGUAUCAUUUUUUAAAGGUUCCUGAAGAAUACAAAUUUAAAUUCAGGAAUGUAAUACGACCAGGUUGACGAUUGAAAGUUAAAAGUGUAUUCAAAAAUCCAAAUUUUCAUUGAACACAAACAGGAUACACAAUGUAUUAGGAGCAUGUUUGCAUAGAAUAAUUAUCCGCUUAUACUUGAGUACUUUGGGCAAGUGUUUAAUGCAAGCACAUAAUGUCAAUAAAUUCGCCAAAUGGUGCAAAAUUAUUUGUAUUGCCGUACAAUUAUAAAAACUGGAAAUGUUUAAUUUCUUCCAUUU